AAAACAUAGGAAACAGCACCAAGAGAAACUGCUGAGGACCAUGGAUGGGAUGCUGCAGCACAACAUCACAGUGGGGAUCUCAUCCUGCAUUUCUUUCUGGCCAGUACAUAUAUUUUGUUCUUGUCAACAUUGCUACAUUAAUUAAUUUCUUCUUCACACACUGUACCAUCUCCAAGGAUCUAUUUGUUAAAUGUAUAUGCAUUAAAUUUCAUUUCAGACUCUCUUUCAUCAGUGUGAAGUGGAAGUGAAGACAGCCAAAGUCUUGGGUCUCAUCUUGCUGCUCUCAGAUCCUUGGCCAAUGGCACUCUGGAUAGUUCCAUCUACAGCAAAUCUUACGGUGCAACACCCGCAGUUCAUGCACUGGUGUAGAACUUCCCAGUAUCUUUGAACCUCUGGGUGAGGCCAGUGGCAUCUGAAUGAGAAAUGGAAGCCUCAGAAUGACAUGGGAUGUUCAUCAGGAUUUGGUGCCUCUGUAAAAAACCG
rnacentral:lncRNA from 1 species